CCUAACACAUGCAAGUCGAACGAGAAAGUGGAGCAAUCCAUGAGUAAAGUGGCGACCGGGUGAGUAACACGUGACUAACCUACCUUCGAGUGGGGGAUAACCUCGGGAAACCGGGGCUAAUACCGCACAAUGCCUUCGGGUUAAAGGAGCAAUUCGCUUGAAGAGGGGGUCGCGGCUGAUUAGCUAGUUGGCGGGGUAACGGCCCACCAAGGCGAUGAUCGGUAGCCGGCCUGAGAGGGCGCACGGCCACACUGGAACUGAAACACGGUCCAGACUCCUACGGGAGGCAGCAGUGGGGAAUUUUGCGCAAUGGGGGAAACCCUGACGCAGCAACGCCGCGUGGAGGAUGAAGUCCUUUGGGACGUAAACUCCUUUCGACCGGGACGAUAAUGACGGUACCGGUGGAAGAAGCCCCGGCUAACUUCGUGCCAGCAGCCGCGGUAAUACGAGGGGGGCGAGCGUUGUUCGGAAUUAUUGGGCGUAAAGGGCGCGUANGCGGUGCGGUAAGUCACCUGUGAAACCUCUGGGCUUAACCCAGAGCCUGCAGGCGAA
rnacentral:rRNA from 1 species